GGAGUGGUAUCGAAGUGGUCAUAACGAGACUGUCUCGAAAACAGUUAGUCAUUAAUAGUGACACGUGGGUUCGAAUCCCACCCACUCCGCCA
rnacentral:tRNA from 1 species